GAUGAACGCUAGCGACAGGCUUAACACAUGCAAGUCGAGGGGCAACGGGGGUGAAAGCUUGCUUUCACCUGCCGGCGACCGGCGCACGGGUGAGUAACACGUAUGCAACCUGCCCUCCACUGGGGGAUAAGCGGAAGAAAUUCCGUCUAAUACCGCAUAACAACCCGAGGGGCAUCCCCUUGGGUUUAAAGGAGUGAUCCGGUGGCGGAUGGGCAUGCGGCGCAUUAGCUAGUUGGCGGGGUAACGGCCCACCAAGGCGACGAUGCGUAGGGGUUCUGAGAGGAAGGUCCCCCACACUGGGACUGAGACACGGACCAGACUCCUACGGGAGGCAGCAGUGAGGAAUAUUGGUCAAUGGGCGGGAGCCUGAACCAGCCAAGUCGCGUGAGGGAAGACGGUCCUAUGGAUUGUAAACCUCUUUUGUCGGGGAGCAAAGAGGCCUCGUGAGGUCAAAAGUGAGAGUACCCGAAGAAAAAGCAAUCGGCUAACUCCGUG
rnacentral:rRNA from 1 species